UGUAAGCGUAUACCAAAGUUGUUGCAGUUAAAACGCUCGUAGUCGGAAUUUGGCAGUUCCGGAUGUGUGCACGUCGUGUGCGCACUUCGCGGGGAUUGCUUUUGUGGUCUUGCGUAGGAUGAGGCACUUUUAUUAGUGAACGUCCUCACGCAACCACUUUUUACUGUGAGAAAAUCAGAGUGCCCAAAGCAGGCAUUUGCCGUGAAUGUAUUAGCAUGGAAUAGUAGAAUAGGACUUGGUUCUAUUUUGUUGGUUUGUUGGGACUGAGUAAUGAUUAAGAGGGACAGUUGGGGGCAUUUGUAUUUCGGUGCUAGAGGUGAAAUUCUUAGAUUACCGAAAGACAAACUGCUGCGAAAGCGUCUGCCAAGGAUGUUUUCAUUGA
rnacentral:rRNA from 1 species